GACGAACGCUGGCGGCGCGCCUAACACAUGCAAGUCGAACGGAGUCAAGAGGAGCUUGCUUUUCUUGACUUAGUGGCGAACGGGUGAGUAACGCGUGAGUAACCUGCCCUGGAGUGGGGGACAACAGUUGGAAACGACUGCUAAUACCGCAUAAGCCCACGGAUCUGCAUGGAUCUGCGGGAAAAGGAUUUAUUCGCUCUAGGAUGGACUCGCGUCCACUUAGCUAGUUGGUGAGGUAACGGCCCACCAAGGCGACGAUUGGUAGCCGGACUGAGAGGUUGAACGGCCACAUUGGGACUGAGACACGGCCCAGACUCCUACGGGAGGCAGCAGUGGGGGAUAUUGCACAAUGGGGGAAACCCUGAUGCAGCGACGCCGCGUGGAGGAAGAAGGUUUUCGGAUUGUAAACUCCUGUCGUUAGGGACGAUAAUGACGGUACCUAACAAGAAAGCACCAGCUAACUACGUG
rnacentral:rRNA from 1 species